CUCAGGAGUGUUCAUAGAUUGCUAGUGUGAGAACAAUAUCUAUAGCUUCGUGGGAGGACCAAGGGUCCCUGAUUAGUCCUUACUGCUCUUAGCCAUUUCGCAUGGGAAAUGUGUCCCCACGUCGUACAACCUAUUAACUGCAUGGGAACGGGAUGGGUUGAGUU